CCGGUUUCCGGUUCACCUGCGCGGCACCGGCGCGGGACCCGGGGCC
rnacentral:ncRNA from 1 species